rnacentral:rRNA from 1 species
AUACCUGGCGGAUUGCUUACACCUGCAGUUAACGGCAGCACGGACUUCGGUCUGGUGGCGAGUGGCGAACGGGUGAGUAACUACAUCGGAACGUGCCCAGUCGUGGGGGAUAACGUAGCGAAAGCUACGCUAAUACCUGCAUACGAUCUAAGGAUGAAAGCGGGGGAUCGCAAGACCUCGCGCGAUUGGAGCGGCCGAUGGCAGAUUAGGUAGUUGGUAGGGUAAAGGCCUACCAAGCCGACGAUCUGUAGACUGGUCUGAGAGGACGAUCCAGCCACACUGGCGACUGAGAACACGGCCCAGACUCCUACGGGAGGCAUGCAGUGGGGAAUUUUGGACAAUGGGCGAAAGCCUGAUCCAGGCCAUUCCGCGUGCAGGAUGAAGGCCCUCGGGUUGUAAACUGCUUUUUGUACGGAACGCAAAAGGUCCUGGUUAAUACCUGCCUGGCUCAUGACGGUACCGUAAGAAUAAGCACCGGCUAACUACGUGCCAGCAGCCGCGGUAAUACGUAGGGUGCAAGCGUUAAUCGGAAUUACUGGGCGUAAAGCGUGCGCAGGCGGUGAUGUAAGACAGAGGUGAAAUCCCCGGGCUCAACCUGGGAACUGCCUUUGUGACUGCAUCGCUGAGUACGGCAGAGGGGGAUGGAAUUCCGCGUGUAGCAGUGAAAUGCGUAGAUUGCGGAGGAACACCGAUGG